rnacentral:rRNA from 1 species
UACGUAGGGUGCGAGCGUUAAUCGGAAUUACUGGGCGUAAAGCGUGCGCAGGCGGUUAUGUAAGUUAGAUGUGAAAUCCCCGGGCUCAACCCGGGAUCUGCAUUUGAGACUGCAUAGCUAGAGUACGGUAGAGGGGGAUGGAAUUCCGCGUGUAGCAGUGAAAUGCGUAGAUAUGCGGAGGAACACCGAUGGCGAAGGCAGUCCCCUGGACCUGUACUGACGCUCAUGCACGAAAGCGUGGGGAGCAAACAGG